AUAAAAGAAAGAGGUUUAAUUGGACUUAUGGUUCCACAUGGCUGGGGAAGCCUCACAAUCAUGGCAGAAGGCAAGGAGGAGCAAGUCCUGUCUUACAUGAUGGCAGCAGGCAAAGAGAGAAUGAGGAAGACGCAAAAGCAGAAAUCCCUGAUAAAACCAUCAGACCCUGUGCAACUUAUUCACUCCAUGAGAACAGUAUGGGGGAAACCACCCUCAUGAUUCAAUUCUCUCUCACCAGGUCCCUCCCACAACACGUGGAAAUUAUGGGAGUACAAUUCAAGAUGAGAUUUGGGUGGGGACACAGAGCCAGACCAUGUCACUAUGUUAUUAUUGCCAAAUUAUUCUCCAUAGUGGUUACAUCAGUGUAUACUCUCACAGCGUUAUAUGAAAGUUUCCAUUUACCCAGAUUUUUGCCAGCUCGUAGUAUAUGUAUGACUUUACAUGUUUGCUAUUCUGAUAGUUAUAAAAUGGUAUAUAUCAUCAUAAUUUUGAGUUUUCUCUGAUUUCAGUGUCUUCAAUCUGAAUCUGUUAGAGACCAGUAUUAGUGGUUUCUAAAAGGCCUUUUGUUUUUAAACUGAAAACUUUGUUUAACCUUUUAUUGUGAUAUUUGUCAGUAGUGAUAUGAUCUCUAUUAUAUAUCCAACUUAUUUUUCAGUUUGCUAAUCCAGACUUUACACAACCUAUCUCAGAAGUUGUAGAUGAAGUAAUUCAGAAUUGUCCUAUUGAUGUCAGACGUCCUCUCUACAAGAAUAUUGUCCUCUCUGGAGGUUCAACCAUGUUCAGGGACUUUGGACGUCGCUUGCAAAGAGAUUUGAAAAGAACUGUAGAUGCCCGGCUGAAAUUAAGUGAGGAAUUGAGUGGUGGUAGAUUGAAGGUUGGUUUUCCCAAUUAUUGGUGAGAAGGUUGAGGGUGCCUUCCUUGAUUAGGAUGAGAAAUAUUUGCCAGCAUUCACUCUGAUUUAGAAAAAUAAGAGGAACCUGUCAGGUAUUCUAAUGGAAAUGGUUAAUGUUAUAGAUUUAUGUCUGUGAUACUCUGGAUCAUUUGAUUCUUCUAGGAUAUUGUCUGUAUUUCUGGAAAAUAAUUCUUAGUAAUACCUGUGGAAAGACUUUUUUUUUUUAAUACCUCUCUCAUAGAUAAUUAAUACAGUAGAUUUCUUUGCAUACACCAACAAUCAAAUUAAUUAUGGAUCCACAAAAUGUUUUAUACUAUAGAAGGACAGCAAAGCUGAGUUGAGAUUGAUGCCAUUGUUGAGUAGUCUAGCCUGCUCUCAAAAACUGACUUUAGCUCCCACAUAGCAACCUCAAAGUGUGCAGUCAAAUCGGUGGUUUAAUAAAGUAACCUUUGUAUUACAUGUCCUGGACCUUUAGGCUUGAGGUUAAAAAAACUCAAAAUUAAUUUAAAAUUCUUAGAUGUCUACUUUCUAUAUUUAGAGAUAGAUUCUUCAUUUUUUUCAUCCUUGUUAAAUAUUGAAGCAGAACGUUGAUUUAGAGGAAUGAUAUGGCUUUUUUCAAAGCUGUUUGAAAAAAGGUAUUUUGAAAAAAGGUAUUUCAUGUGAAUAAAAUACCUUCUGCUUGGAAGAUUACCAAGAAUGAGGACUUUAUCUGAGACUUCCACAAUCAUUCAGAAUUACUUAAAAGUAAAGCACAACACUCUAGGGUUUGCUGAUUGUUGAGAAAUUGCAUGAUGGCUGACUGUUGUCAGUGCCUGUAUUUUGAUUAUCUUGAGUAAACCUAUCCCUAGGAAUGCAGUAAAAAGUAUAUGUUUUGGGUGGAAGGCAAAAUAUUGAACUCUGUCCCUAUAAUGUCAUGACUUCACACUUCAGGAAGUCUACUCAAUAGACUUUUAAAAUGUUGCGUUUGCUUUUGCAUCCCCUUCCCAACCAACCAAACCACCAGCCCACCCCCAUUCAUCCAUUCAUUUGCACAUCCAUCUACUCCCCUUACCCACAUAUCUAUCUACCCUACCUCCUACCUAAAAAAGAAGUCAUUGGGUUUUGCAAGUAUAAAUUCUCUGUACUGAGAAUCCUACUAACCACAUUGAUUAUGUGAAUGAACAUAGUGCAUGUUCUGGUUUUUUUGUUAGAAUACUUAAAAGAUUGAAGUUGAUUGUCCUAAUGGUAUGGUUAUGGAUGUAUUAAAGUAGCUGUUUAGUUUUUAAUAACUCAUUACAGAUAUAUAAGUACAAAACAAUGCUGUAUGUUUCUGAGUAUAGUAUUUUAAUAAAGUGAGAUUGUUUAACAUUUUUAAGCUCUUUUUACACUUGUAAAUAAGAAAUAAAUUUACCUAGUGAUCAGUACCGUAUCGACAUAUUGAAAGAAACAGAUUGGGUGUCCCUUUUUUGAAUUGCUUCAUACCAGAAGUGUUGCAGGUUUUGAGUUUUUCUGGAUUUUGGAGUAUUUGCAUUAUAUACUGGUUCAACAUCCUUAAUCCAAAAAUCUGAAAUUGUGAGCAUUUCCUUUGAACAUCAUGUUGGUGCUCAAAAAGUUUUUGGAUCUUGGAGCAUUUUGGAUUUUCAGACUUGGGAUGCUCAUCAUGUAUAGGAAAAACCUUGUGUUUUGGAGGACUCUGCCUUCUUCACCUUAGUUUUACUUGCUAGUAACUUUUAUAGAUCUUAAUAGCAUGCCUUUAUCUAUCUAUCUCUGGCUUUAUUCUCCUUCAGUCUGUAAUUUUUAAUGGCAACCAAACAGUUUUGAAAAAAGCCAUAUCAUUCUGUUUCUAUAAAUAGGUGUGUGUACACACACACACACACUAAAUUGUAGAUAUGAUGGUUCAUUAUCCCCAAACAUUUUAGUAUAUUUCUAAAAUCAAGAACAUAUUACAAUUAUCAAAAUCAUGAAAUUAACCUUGAUCCAGUGUUAUCUAGUUAUAGAACUGAUUCUAAUUUUACCGGUUGUUUCACUAAUGUCCCUUAUAACAAAAGGAAAACAAAAUACCUUUUUCCCCCUUAUCCAGGAUCCAAUCAAGGAUUGCAUGUUUCAUUUACUUAUUGUGUUGCUUCAGUCUGUUACAUACUCAAUGUUUUUUGUCUUUCAUGAAUGAAUGUGACAUUUUUGAAGAGUAUAGCCAUUUAUUUUGUAGCAUAUCCUUCAGCUUGGGUUUGUUUAAUAUUUCUGCUUGAGUAGGUUCAGAUUAUGUACUUUUGGCAGUGAUGCCACAGAAUUGAUAUUGUAUCAUUUUUAGUGCAUUGUAUCAGUAGACACAUGAUAGAAUUUGUCCUGUGUGUGAAUUUUGAGCUUUUGGUUGAAGUUGUGUCUGCCAGGUUUUUUCACUAUAAAGUUAUUAUGUUUUCCUUUAUAUUUAAUAAGAAUCUUAUGAGGAGACACUUUCAGACUAUCCUGUUUCUCUUUUAAGUUUCAGUCACUAGUUUUUAGCAUCCAUUGUGAUUCUUCCCUAAAACAGUUAUUACUGUGGUAGUUGCUAAAUGGCGUUUUGCAAUUUCUAUCAUUCCUUCUAUGUUUUUAAGUCUUGUUUUACUAUAAGCAAGAGUUUUCCCUUCUCCCACAUUCAUUUAUUCUUUUAGUAAUAUCUAUAUGAACUCCUGAUGUCUCAUUUUGUGGUCUGUAUCUUUAAUAUCACUGUAAUAUCAUAAUAGUAAUACCACUCAUCAUUAAUUUUAAUCCCACAUUUUUUUUUUUUUCAGAUUUGACCAGUGGGAGUUAUUCAAAUGGCUCUUAGAUUUUUUUUUUUUGAUGCAGCCACAUCUUUUUUUUGCCUACUUCUGUACUUCCCGGCACAGCAAGGUGUUUCAGGCUGAUCUUGUACUUUCUCUUUUCUGGCCCUGGAAUCAGCCCUUUUUUUUCUCCUUUUCUUUCUUCAAGACACCCUUGUCUUGUUCCUGUUAGUGGAGAACGUUGCUAAGAAACCAAGCUUUGUGCUCAUUGCUGCUGGGGUAUCACUGAGUCUAGGCCUUCUCAGUGAUUAGAGCUAGGGGUGUGUGUGUGUCUAUACAUCUAUAUCUAAUUCUCUACAUAAAUUAAAACCAUGAAUUUUUACAGAUGUCUCCAGUUAUAGAAGGUUCACUCUAGUUUUCUGCCCUUCCAUAUUGUAAUGCCCUUCUCUGACAGUGAGAAACCUGGCUCCUAUUAUCUAUAAUAUAUUUAUGUUUUUGCUUAAUCCUGGAAUAUGUAUAUGAUAGUUUCAGAAUUGUUAAUCCACACCACUGUGAAAAAUAGACCCAAAAUUAGAAUUCAGUAUUUGCUUAUAUUUUAUCUUCAGCCUGAAGGCUUAUAAGAUUCAAAAUACUAUGCUCACAAGUUGCUUGUGUUAGUCCCUUUCCUCACCUUAGUGUGCUUAUGUUUGAAAAAAGUACAAUUAGUUUAAUUUGUUUUUGUUGUACUUUGUUUUGCCCCAACCUCCCCUUCUUUUAAGGUGUUACUUUUUAGUAUGUAAAACACUAACAUUUAGAUUCUUAAAGUCAGAACUGUAUAAAACGUGUGCUCAUUGCUAUUUCCCUUCCAUUUAUUCUGCUCUGUUCCCUCCCUGUCUCUUCCACAGUGUUCCCAAACCCUUUCCUCUGAGACAGCCAAUCUCAAUUGUUUCUGGUUUGUAAGAUACCAUCUGAAUUUAGUACAGAUAUUAUUUUUGUAUAUGUACAUUUAAGGUUAAAUGACACAGAAGUUGUUAUUUGAAUUUACUAUGAAGAUGAUCAUACUAUGUCUUUCUUUAGCCAAAACCUAUUGAUGUACAAGUCAUUACACACCACAUGCAGCGAUAUGCAGUUUGGUUUGGAGGAUCAAUGCUGGCUUCCACGCCUGAGUUCUACCAAGUAUGCCACACCAAAAAGGAUUAUGAAGAAAUUGGACCUAGCAUUUGUCGUCACAAUCCAGUGUUUGGAGUCAUGUCGUAAAAUUGGCUUCAUAGUUAUUGGGGUUAGGGAGGUGGGGAAGAGAUAAUCUUUCUGAUUACCUGUUUUGUCUGGAUGGCUGGUUUUGAGGUUUUAAACCUGACUUGAAAUAGUAACACCAAACAUGAUUAUACAGGAAUAUUUUAAUAAGUGUAUCACCAUGCAGAUGUAGAAGAGAGCGAAAGUGAUUGUGUUUUUCUUUAGAUUGAAUAUUUGAAUCUUUAUGUGUAACAAAAAGAAGUGGGUUUUAGUUCUUUCUGUGCCCUGAUAUUUUGUAUAUUAAUGAAUUAUCCAAGAUUCGAUGGGAUUUAUCAGUGUGUAGAUAGCUCUAUAAUGCUUGAAUUGUACACUUCUAAGUGUGCAGUGCAAGAGCUUGUUUAUAUUUCAUACUUUUUAUACUUUGAGGAAAAAAAGUCAAAGAAAAAUUGUAUUUGAGGGAAAAAACCAUGACCAAGUAAAGGAUAAAUUCAAAAAAUAGCCUCAUGAGACUUGGCAUACACACUCGUGGGAUUCCAGUUAUUAUGGAGUGCUUCCAUCCCUCUCCACCCCUUCCCCCCAAAAGGUUUUCUUUGCAAGUGCUUUUGGAACUAAGAGCUAGUAUCUUGGAUUAACUGAUGCCUGCUAGUGCUUUCUGAUUACUCGCAUUCUGUUUCUUGCUUCAAAAGAAGAGUAAAGACAAGAGUGUUGGACCAGUAUUGCAGUUCUGUAGUGUCAUUUCUUAUAAAAAACAAAACAACAACAAUAAUUUAUCAAAAUUGGCAUAUUUAAAGCCUAACAUUCUAAUAAAGGCACAAAUUUCUUUUUAAUACUUGUUUCAGGCUCUUUAAUCUCUUUAUAAGUUAACUAAUAAAUCUAUUUUCUUCAGACUUCUGCAAUAGUUCUUUAAAAUCACAACAGUUAGCAAGCUGACUUUUGUAAUGUGCUCAAUACAAAUACCUGUGAACUUUUAAUAUGUUGAGUGCUUUCAUUUUGAUAACUGGAUCUCCAUUUGAUAUUUUCAUUUGUAUAACUCAUUUGCAGUCUGAAAAUUUUUUUUAGUGCCAGUCCCUGAACAUAUCAUUGAAAGUUAAUUUUCUUUGCAUUUUAAAAUAUCUGGAUUAUGAAGAAAAAGUGAUGAAAAUAAAUUAAAACUGAAUUA
rnacentral:sRNA from 1 species